AUUCAUCAAGCUCCUCUAGGAUUUCUAUUUUUUUUCUAUCCUCCACAAACUCCGCCUUCUCUCUGAUUCACGUUCACGCUAAGCAAACCCUAGUCUCUUGUUUAAACAAUGAAGUUGAACUCCGUUACUGCGCUUAUGGACAUGGACACACACUCUGUUUAUGCCGUCUCUUGCUCGCGCUCUUCCCUUUCGAUUCUCUCAUCACUCCAUCUCCCUCCUCGAAGAACACAAUGCGGUUUAAUCUCUCCGCGCCGGCAAGGAGAAUCGAUGCGCGAGAGACGGAGAGAAUGAUUUCGUAAUUAUCUGGUUCAAGCAGGGUAUCAGAGUCGAUAAUCAUCGUGGAUUUGUAACCUAUCACGCCGUGCUUCCUCUUUGCGUCUUCGAUCUCGGUCGAGUAUCUUCUUUCUUAUAUUCCUCUUUUUUUGCCUGGUUAUUUUUAGGUUUUUCAUUGUUGUUCAAUUGUCAGGGUAUCUGAGUCGAUAAUCAUCGUGUACUUGUAACCUAUCACGCCGUGCGUCGUCUUUGCGUCUUCGAUCGCUGUCGAGUAUCUUCUUUCUUAUAUUCCUUUUUGUUUCUUGCCCAGUUAUUUUUAGGUUUUUCAUUGUUGUUCAAUUGUUUUAAGGUUUUUCUUCGUAGCCAACCCUAUGCCUCAAAUUUGAAAAUCAUACUCAUGUACACACUAUUGUGUCUCUCUUGCACGCCUUCUCUCUCCUUUCGUUUAGCUCAUCUCUCUAUGAUACGAUUCGGAGAACACGAUGAGGUUGAUCUCUCUUCGCGCAGUCGACCAGAGGCGAUGUGCUAAAGAAUCACUCCUGAAAUCUCUCGUUCAAGCAGGAUCUCCGAGUCCAGGUCUUGUAGCCGCCACCGCCUCCGAGUAUCAGGCCCUGGUUACUCCUUACGUCUUUGAUCGCCGGAUUCUUUCUAGUGUUUGUUUACUAUCCGCACCUCGGCAAGAAGAGGCUAUGCACGCUCUAUAAUUCUUAGUCCACAAUCAGUCCUUGUAGCUGCCCCCGAGUUUCAGGCGAUGGUUCCUCUUUACUUGCAGGACCCUAGCAGAUGAUGUUGAAGCAGAAAUCAGCCUAUGUACCUUGAAAUGCUGUGCCACAAUCAAUUGUAGAGACAAAAGUCCUCUUUCCUCUGCUGGAAUGACUGACAUCCAUAGCUAAGGUGAGCAUCCUCGUUUCCACUUGAUGAUGACAGCUUUUAUUCUCUUCAAAAUGGUAUUAUCUCAAUCUGCUGUUAAGAAAGGGCGUAGUCUCUGUGGGAUUACUGGAGUCUGUAGCUCUUCAUAAUAAGUUAGGACUCAUGGCAAAGGAGAACUGUGGAAUGAAUACUCAUAAAUCAUAAUAUUUCGUAUGUAUUUGUGUAGCCGACCUAACAUAUUGUUUGCGACAAGGCUUUGAUGAUGAUUGUGGUUGGUAUUUGUUACAGAAUGACACUUGCAUGAUCAUUCAUUUCUUAUGCCUCAUUUAUGUUUCAAAAUUGUAGUCUGUGUUAUAUUCCUUUGGAACAAUCUGGUGGUAACAGAAGGGUUACUGUAGAAUAGUUUUGCAUUCUUUGGUGGAUAUGGGCAUUGCCACAUGGAAUUCUAUAAAAGAGAAUAUUGAUAUUUUUAAGUGUCUUGGAGUGUAGAAGAAAAAGUAUGGAUAUCUCACUUCUCUCAUUGUUGCAUAAUUAAGAUUUGUAUCUAAAGCUCAUACCCAUUUGGCUCUGAUUUCGAUUCCGUGGAUGCUAGAUUUUUACCUUCAGAAAAUCACCUUCAAAUAAGAUGCCGUUCGUCUUCUUUCAAUCUUUCCUGCUUUUAAGUUUUGAUAGCAGCAGAUGAUUAAAUGGCAAGUUAGCAACAUCUUAUGUAGAUCUAUGUUGACUUCCAGCAGUCUUUGACAUUGGCGGUCUGGUUUAUGGUAUUUGUUCUGGAUUAACUUCUGUACAAAUUCUUAUAAUGUUUGAAGCUUCUUUAAUCUAUCCUAGUUGUUCAAA